rnacentral:rRNA from 1 species
AGUGAACGCUGGCGGUAGGCCUAACACAUGCAAGUCGAACGGCAGCACAGUAAGAGCUUGCUCUUACGGGUGGCGAGUGGCGGACGGGUGAGGAAUACAUCGGAAUCUACUUUUUCGUGGGGGAUAACGUAGGGAAACUUACGCUAAUACCGCAUACGACCUACGGGUGAAAGCAGGGGAUCUUCGGACCUUGCGCGAUUGAAUGAGCCGAUGUCGGAUUAGCUAGUUGGCGGGGUAAAGGCCCACCAAGGCGACGAUCCGUAGCUGGUCUGAGAGGAUGAUCAGCCAAACUGGAAAUGGGAAACGGGCCCGACCCCUAAGGGAGGCAGGAGGGGGAAUAUUGGACAAUGGGCGCAAGCCUGAUCCAGCCAUACCGCGUGGGUGAAGAAGGCCUUCGGGUUGUAAAGCCCUUUUGUUGGGAAAGAAAAGCAGCAGGUUAAUACCCCGCUGUUCUGACGGUACCCAAAGAAUAAGCACCGGCUAACUUCGUG